AUGCUGAAGCCACACAGUGAGGCAGGGACUGCCUUCAUUUAGCCCACCAGCCGCGGGCAGUCAUGGCUGACACAUUCCUGGAACAUGUGCCACCUGGACAUUGACUCUGUACCUAUCAAGGCCUGUAACACCAGCAUCAUCUGCACUGUUGGUCCUGCUUCCCAUUCAGUAGAGAUGCUGGAGAUAAUUAAGUCUGGAGUGAAUGUGACUGGUCUGAACUUGUCUCAUGGAACGCAUGAGUACCAUGUGGAGGCCAUCAAGAACCUGCACACAGCCACAGAAAGCUUUGCAUCUGACCCCAUUCCCUACUGGCCAGUUGCUAUGCCUCUGGACACUAAGGGACCUGAGAUCUGGACUGGGCUUAUCAAGGGCAGGGGUAACCCUGAGGUGAUGCUGAAGAAGGGAGCCACUCUGAAGAUCACACUGGAUACCCCUACAUGGAAAAGUGUGAUGAGAACUUCCUGUGGCUGGACUACAGGAACAUUUGCAAGAUGGUGGAAGUGGGCGGCAAGAUCCACGUGGAUGACGGGCUUAUUUCACUGCAGGUGGAGGAGAAAGGUGCUGACUUCCUAGUGACCAAGGUGGAAAGUGGUGGCUCGUUGGCAGCAAGAAGCGGGUGAACCGUCCCGGGGCUGCUGGGGACCUCCCUGCUGUGUCAAAGAAGGACAUUCAGGACCUGGAGUUUGGAGUGAGGCAGGAUGUAGACAAGGUGUGUCUUUCAUCCGCAAGGCAGCCGAUGUGCAUAAAGUUAGGAAGGUCCUGGGAGAGAAAUGGAAGAAUAUCAAGAUUAUCAGCAAAAUCAAGAAUGAUGAAGGAGUUCUCAGGUUUGACGAGAUCCUGGAGGCCAGUGAUGGAUCAUGGCGGCCCGUGGUGAUUUAGGUAUUGAGAUGCCUGUAGAGAAGGUUUUCGUUGCUCAGAAGAUAAUGAUUGGGCGAAGCAACCAAGCUGGGAAGCCUGUUGCCACACAGGUGCUGGAGAGCAUGAUCAAGAAUCCCCGCCCGACCCGGGCUGAGGUCAGUGAUGUGGCCAACGGAGUCCUGCAUCAUGCCGUCUGGAGAAAACAGCCAAAGGGGACUAUCCUCUGGAGGCUGUGCACGGGUAGCACCUGAUGGCGGAGAGGCAGACGCUGCUAUCUACCACUUGCAAUUAUUUGAAGAACUCCGCCGCCUGGCGCCCUUUACCAGCGACCCCACAGAAGCUGCCCCAUAGGUGCGGUGGAGGGCCUCCUUCAAGUGCUGCAGCGGGGCCAUUAUCGUACUCACCAAGUCUGGCAGGAGUGCUUACCAGGUGGCCAGAUCCACCCACGUGCUCCCAUCACUGCUGUGACACAUAAUCAAUCCCCAGAUAGCUCACCAGGCCCAUCUGUACCAUGGCAUCAUCCAACAAUGCGCUUGUAAGGAUGCAGGCCAGGAGGCCUGGGCUGAGGAUGUAGACCUCCAGGAGAACUUGGCCAUGAAUGCUGGCAAGGCCUGAGGCUUUUUCAAGAACGGAGAUGUCAUUGUGCUGACCAGGUGGAGCCCUGGCUCUGGUUUCAGCAACACCACGCCGUGUAGUGCCUGUGAAGCAAUGGUUCACUGGAGCCCCUCUUCCAGCCCCUGUCCCAUUCCCUUCCCCCAAUCCAUCCAUUAG